CUGUGGACCUAUGAUCCUCCGGAAAGGGAUGCAAAAUUGGCAAAUGAAGCAUUGAAAGCAAAGAAGAAAGGCACAAAAGAAUUGCAAGUGAUAGUUGAGAUAGCUUGUGCAAAUACUCCUCACCAUCUACAGGCAGUAAGGCAGGCCUAUUGUUCUCUUUUUGAUUGCUCCUUUGAAGAAGCCAUUGCAUCUGAAGUCUCUUUGCCCAUUAGAAAGCUCUUGGUGGGUUUAGUAAGCUCUUACAGGUAUGAUAAAGAACUGGUGGAUAUGAAUAUAGCCAGCUCAGAGGCAUCUAAAUUGCAUGAAGCUAUCAAGAGAAAGCAACUAGAUCAUGAUGAUAUAGUAUAUGUUCUCAGCACUAGGAACAUGUAUCAGCUUAGAGCAACAUUCAAGUGCUAUCAGCAAAAGUUUGGAAAUCCUAUUGACCAGGACAUAGAGAGUUGUGGUAAGGGUGUGUUGGAAUCUCUGUUGAGAGUGGUAAUUUGGUGCAUACAAUCUCCAGAAAAACACUUUGCUGAGGUGAUUGGAACUUCCAUCAUUGGACUUGGGACAGAUGAAGAUUCACUGACUAG
rnacentral:misc_RNA from 1 species